rnacentral:rRNA from 1 species
UACGUAGGGUGCAAGCGUUAUCCGGAAUUAUUGGGCGUAAAGAGCUCGUAGGCGGUUUGUCGCGUCUGCUGUGAAAACUGGGGGCUCAACCCCCAGCCUGCAGUGGGUACGGGCAGACUAGAGUGCGGUAGGGGAGAUUGGAAUUCCUGGUGUAGCGGUGGAAUGCGCAGAUAUCAGGAGGAACACCGGUGGCGAAGGCGGAUCUCUGGGCCAUUACUGACGCUGAGGAGCGAAAGCGUGGGGAGCGAACAGG